GUAGAGUUGUAGCCUCUAAUUGCAAUGGCUUUCAGUUUUUACCAGUGCUCCUUGAUAUCAUACUCAGUCAAAUGUUGUCAAGACCAUACAUUCUUACUGUUUCUUUGGAAUUUGGCUCAUUCACUUUUACUUCAUGCGAGCCAAUCGCCAGGGGUGUCCCAGCGGGCCACAUGCUUGGUGGUAUCCAGGCAAUUGGGGCCAAGCCCUCAAGCAGGCCCGCUUGCCCGUUGCUUACCGAUGACGGAAGACCCGCCCGGCUCACCCAACACGCCGCCGAGUGAGGAGUGACCUGUGAGCAGCCGCGGAGAGCGAGGAGGGUCGGUGAGAGGACCAGGCGGGGGGCGAGAAUGGCGGGCAACCCGGCGGGUGAAGGGGGGCCACAUACUAUGUGUGGCGGCAGGCAGAAGAUGGGGAGGGAAGAUAGGACUGUUCGGUGAACUUUUGUAACUUUAUCUGGGCCAGAAACUUGGUGACAUUUGGAGAAGCCAAGGAGCC